GGUGAACGCUGGCGGCGUGCCUAAGACAUGCAAGUCGAGCGGGGCAGGUUUAUCCCUGUUCAGCGGCGGACGGGUGAGUAACGCGUGGGUGACCUACCCUGAAGAGGCGGACAACCUGGGGAAACCCAGGCUAAUCCGCCAUGUGGUCCUGUCCUGUGGGGCAGGACUAAAGGGGCGACCCGCUUCCGGAUGGGCCCGCGUCCCAUCAGCUAGUUGGUGGGGUAAAGGCCCACCAAGGCGACGACGGGUAGCCGGUCUGAGAGGAUGGCCGGCCACAGGGGCACUGAGACACGGGCCCAACUCCUACGGGAGGCAGCAGUUAGGAAUCUGCCGCAAUGGACGGAAGUCUGACGGAGCGACGCCGCUGGGAGGAGGAAGCCCUUCGGGGUGUAAACUCCUGAACUGGGGACGAAAGCCCCGUGUAGGGGGAUGACGGUACCCAGGUAAUAGCGCCGGCCAACUCCGUG
rnacentral:rRNA from 1 species